GUCAUAUCACCUUGAAAUACCGGUUUUCGUAUGAUCACCGAAGUUAAGCAACGUCGAACAUGGUCAGUGUCUCGAUGGUUGACCGCUUGGGAAUACCAGGUGCUGUAAG